rnacentral:rRNA from 1 species
UGCCUGUACCAUAACCGACACAGGUGGGUAAGUAGAGUAUACUAAGGGGCGCGAGAUAACUCUCUCUAAGGAACUCGGCAAAAUAACUCCGUAACUUCGGGAGAAGGAGUGCCUUAUUCUUAAGGUUGCAAUAACAAGAUCCAAGCAACUGUUUAUCAAAAACACAGGUCUCCGCUAAGUCGUAAGACGAUGUAUGGGGGCUGACGCCUGCCCAGUGCCAGAAGGUUAAAGAAGUCGGUUAGCAAUAGCAAAGCUGGUAACUGAAGCCCUGGUGAACGGCGGCCGUAACGAUAACGGUCCUAAGGUAGCGAAAUUCCUUGUCGGGUAAGUUCCGACCCGCACGAAAGGCGUAAUGAUUUGGAUGCUGUCUCGGAGAGGGGCUCGGUGAAAUAGACUUGUCUGUGAAGAUGCGGACUACCUGCACCAGGACAGAAAGACCCUAUGAAGCUUUACUGUAACUUGAAAUUGAAAUUGGACUUUAUUCGCGCAGUAUAGGUGGGAGGCGUUGAUUAUAAUCUUGUGGGAUUAUUGGAGCCAUCAGUGAGAUACCACUCUUGUAAUGUUAGAUUUCUAACUUUGAAUCAUUAUCUGGUCAAAGGACAGUUUCAGGCGGGCAGUUUGACUGGGGCGGUCGCCUCCUAAACGGUAACGGAGGCGUACAAAGGUUUCCUCUGAACGGUUAGAAAUCGUAUCUAGGGUGUAAAGGCAUAAGGAAGCUUGACUGUGAGACCUACAAGUCGAGCAGGGACGAAAGUCGGUCUUAGUGAUCUGACGGUACUGAGUGGAAAGGCCGUCACUCAACGGAUAAAAGUUACUCUAGGAUAACAGGCUGAUCUCCCCCAAGAGUUCACAUCGACGGGGAGGUUUGGCACCUCGAUGUCGGCUCAUCGCAUCCUGGGGCGGUAGUACGUCCCAAGGGUUGGGCUGUUCGCCCAUGAAAGCGGUACGCGAGCUGGGUUCAGAACGUCGUGAGACAGUUCGGUCCAUAUCCGGUGUAGGCGCUAGAAUAUUGAGAGGAGCCUUCUUUAGUACGAGAGGACCGAGAAGGACAUACCUCUGGUGUACCAGUUAUCGUGCCAACGGUAAACGCUGGGUAGUUAUGUAUGGAGUGGAUAACCGCUGAAAGCAUCUAAGUGGGAAGCCCACCUCAAGAUAAGUAUUCUCAUCACGUAAGUGAGUAAGGUCACGGUAAGACUAACCGUUUGAUAGGCAUUAAGUGUAAGUACAGUAAUGUAUGUGCUGAGAUGUCCUAAUAGACCGAGGAC